rnacentral:rRNA from 1 species
UACGGAGGGUGCAAGCGUUGUUCGGAAUCACUGGGCGUAAAGGGCGUGUAGGCGGUCCGUUAAGUUCGAUGUGAAAGCCCCGGGCUCAACCUGGGAAUUGCAUUGGAAACUGGCGGGCUUGAGUGUGGCAGAGGGGGGUGGAAUUCCACGUGUAGCAGUGAAAUGCGUAGAGAUGUGGAGGAACACCGAUGGCGAAGGCAGCCCCCUGGGCUAACACUGACGCUCAGGCACGAAAGCGUGGGGAGCAAACAGG